rnacentral:rRNA from 1 species
UAAGGAAUAUUGGUCAAUGGACGGAAGUCUGAACCAGCCAUGCCGCGUGCAGGAAGACGGCCCUACGGGUUGUAAACUGCUUUUGUACCGGAAUAAACCCCGAUUCGUGAAUCGGGUUGAAUGUACGGUAAGAAUAAGGAUCGGCUAACUCCGUGCCAGCAGCCGCGGUAAUACGGAGGAUCCAAGCGUUAUCCGGAUUUAUUGGGUUUAAAGGGUGCGUAGGCGGCUUUUUAAGUCAGGGGUGAAAGACGGUAGCUCAACUAUCGCAGUGCCCUUGAUACUGAAGAGCUUGAAUGUACUUGAGGUAGGCGGAAUGUGACAAGUAGCGGUGAAAUGCAUAGAUAUGUCACAGAACACCAAUUGCGAAGGCAGCUUACUAAAGUAUGAUUGACGCUGAGGCACGAAAGCGUGGGGAUCAAACA